UACGUAGGGUGCGAGCGUUGUCCGGAAUUAUUGGGCGUAAAGAGCUUGUAGGCGGUUUGUCGCGUCUGCCGUGAAAAUUCGAGGCUCAACCUCGAACUUGCGGUGGGUACGGGCAGACUAGAGUGUGGUAGGGGAGACUGGAAUUCCUGGUGUAGCGGUGAAAUGCGCAGAUAUCAGGAGGAACACCGAUGGCGAAGGCAGGUCUCUGGGCCGCGACUGACGCUGAGGAGCGAAAGCGUGGGGAGCGAACAGG
rnacentral:rRNA from 1 species